AGAUUGAACGCUGGCGGCAGGCCUAACACAUGCAAGUCGAGCGGCAGCACGGGUACUUGUACCUGGUGGCGAGCGGCGGACGGGUGAGUAAUGCCUAGGAAUCUGCCUGAUAGGUGGGGGAUAACGCUCGGAAACGGACGCUAAUACCGCAUACGUCCUACGGGAGAAAGCAGGGGACCUUCGGGCCUUGCGCUAUCAGAUGAGCCUAGGUCGGAUUAGCUAGUUGGUGGGGUAAUGGCUCACCAAGGCGACGAUCCGUAACUGGUCUGAGAGGAUGAUCAGUCACACUGGAACUGAGACACGGUCCAGACCUCCGUACGGGAGGCAGCAGUGGGGAAUAGUUGGACAAGUGGGACGAAAGCCUAGACUCCGAGCCAAUGCCGCGUGUGUGAAGAAGGUCUUACGGAUUGUAAAGUCUAACGUUUUAAGGUGGGUAAGGAAGGGCUAGGUUAACCUAAGUACGUAUCGUUAGGUUUUAGACCGUUACCGACAGUAAUAACGGACAACCGGUCUAACGUCGUG
rnacentral:rRNA from 1 species